UACGUAGGGUGCAAGCGUUGUCCGGAAUUACUGGGCGUAAAGGGCGCGUAGGCGGCCAUCGCAAGUCGACUGUGAAAUCUCCGGGCUUAACCCGGAAAGGUCAGCCGAUACUGCGGGGCUAGAGUGCAGAAGGGGCAACUGGAAUUCUCGGUGUAGCGGUGAAAUGCGUAGAUAUCGAGAGGAACACCUGCGGCGAAGGCGGGUUGCUGGGCUGACACUGACGCUGAUGCGCGAAAGCUAGGGGAGCGAACGGG
rnacentral:rRNA from 1 species